AACCUGGUUGAUCCUGCCAGUAGUCAUAUGCUUGUCUCAAAGAUUAAGCCAUGCAUGUCUCAGUAUAAGCUUCUAUACGGCGAAACUGCGAAUGGCUCAUUAAAACAGUUAUAGUUUAUUUGGUGGUCAGCAAUUACAUGGAUAACCGUGGUAAUUCUAGAGCUAAUACAUGCGCCCAAACCCGACUUCGUGGAAGGGUUGUGUUUAUUAGAUACAGAACCAACCCAGGCUCCGCCUGGCCUUGAGGUGAUUCAUAAUAACCGAACGAAUCGCAUGGCUAUGCCGGCGAUAGACCAUUCAAGUUUCUGACCUAUCAGCUAUCGUCGGUAGGGUAUUGGCCUACCGUGGCAAUGACGGGUAACGGAGAAUUAGGGUUCGAUUCCGGAGAGGGAGCCUGAGAAACGGCUACCACAUCUAAGGAAGGCAGCAGGCGCGUAAAUUACCCAAUACUGAUUCAGUGAGGUAGUGACAAGAAAUAGCGGGCCGGCUAAUGCCGGGACUGAAAUGAAUAGAAUUUAACGACCUUUGCGAGGAACGAUUGGAGGGCAAGUCUGGUGCCAGCAGCCGCGGUAAUUCCAGCUCCAAUAGC
rnacentral:rRNA from 1 species